GACGAACGCUGGCGGCGUGCUUAACACAUGCAAGUCGAACGGAAAGGCCCUGCUUUUGUGGGGUGCUCGAGUGGCGAACGGGUGAGUAACACGUGAGUAACCUGCCCUUGACUUUGGGAUAACUUCAGGAAACUGGGGCUAAUACCGGAUAGGAGCUCCUGCUGCAUGGUGGGGGUUGGAAAGUUUCGGCGGUUGGGGAUGGACUCGCGGCUUAUCAGCUUGUUGGUGGGGUAGUGGCUUACCAAGGCUUUGACGGGUAGCCGGCCUGAGAGGGUGACCGGCCACAUUGGGACUGCGGUACGGCCCAGACUCCUACGGGAGGCAGCAGUGGGGAAUAUUGCACAAUGGGCGGAAGCCUGAUGCAGCAACGCCGCGUGCGGGAUGACGUCCUUCGGGUUGUAAACCGCUUUCGCCUGUGACGAAGCGUGAGUGACGGUAAUGGGUAAAGAAGCACCGGCUAACUACGUG
rnacentral:rRNA from 1 species